CUGAUGUAUGCUUCAUCAUGAACGUACCUACUUAUGAAGAGUGAGACCAUGAUGCGACCUGGAUUUGUUCAUAAGAGAUGCACAGAGCCUGGAAUGGGUGCGGUGGAGGAAGGAGGUGAGAGCCCCCAGGAACCGGCAGAACCAGUUUCCUGGGUGCCUGGGAAAUCCUGCCUUCAAAGGCAUGACUCGACUUCUUCUACUAAAAUAUCCAGCUCACAUGCAGAGAGAGUUGGUAUGUUCAAAGAAGGCUGCUGA
rnacentral:lncRNA from 1 species